AGCAAGCGCUGCCCGAUUUUGGAAUCAUCACCUUAACAAGUGAGUGCAUAGUUACUUUCAACUUACACAUAGAUAUGAAGUAUUUUAUAUAAAUUACGUGCUAUGUGUGCAUAUUAUCUGAAUACUUGCUAUCUAUGCUAGAUGAACGUUGUUAUACAUGUUUUCAAUGAUUUAAACUGUAUAUGUAUUUUAUAUCUACGAAAAUGUUGGGGUAAAACAUGGGUAGAUGCAAUAGGUGAUGUGUGAUAAAAUGAUGAGAGGCCUCGAUGUUGAUGUUGUUGAUUCUGUCAUCUAGCGGAGUAUGGAUGACGACCACGGACUCUUCUAGACAGUCCAGUGGAACACUAGCAGGCUCGCAACCUGUAGGUGUUUGUGAACGAUAUGUUCACCGGUGUACUCCAUCCCCCACAUGGUUGCCUUUAGGACAUUUAUUGCUGAGGAAUCCCCUUAGCAGUAGUGUCCGUCCCGAUGAUGAUCCUUAGGCUAGGUCCCUUAUGAUAGGUGUUUAGGGACGUAAAGUGAGGAUAACGGGAACGGGUAAUCGGGUUAUUGUUGAUCGAUGAAAUUAAUAAACUUAUUUAUUGUGGGUUGAAAACCCUAUGUGCUCACCAGGCUCCCAAGCCUGACCCACUCAGUUUUAUGUAUUACAGGUAGUGGCGCAUGAGCAUAGGUGUGAUGUUUUGGACGAGGGAUUACGGAUAUAGGCCUGUAGAUAUGAAAUAAUGUAGUAAGGCUUAUAUUGUACUGUUUAUGCUUUUGAUCUGUACGAACAUGACAUCCCGAGUCUUUUAAUGAAAUACAUUUCUAUGGAAAUGCUUUUGAUAAAUCUUUAUCAUAUUUUUGUUUUGGGACAAAUUCCGCAACACUUUCAUUUAAAAUGUAACUCUGAUUUUUAAACAAAGCAUAAACAAACCGGUCUUUUCUGGCCGUGAUUUUGGGGAUGUCACAGUUGGUAUCAGAGCAUUAGUUUAAGCGAACUAGGAAUUUGUAGGAUUUCUAGACUUAAACUUAGAAUGCUAAGCGAUGAUUGUGAGGUGUGAGCACUAGCUUAUUUUAGGAAUUGUGCCUAAAAUGCUUUUAUGUGCUAAAUGCUUUGUGCAUAAUAUGCUGUUAAUUGUUCGGAUCUAUGGUCUGUUGCCGACCGGAUCUGGAAACCUUAUGUGUUUAGGAUUCUAAACGUACGACUACGAUAUUAGAACUAGCAUGUAAACGUUUCGGAGUGAUAAGGACGAUUUAAAACGUCUAUCCUAAAUAAAGAUCUAAAUUCACCUUAUUCGGUGUAUAGAUCAAGAUGGCAAGGACCCGUAGCGGAAACGUGAACGCAAAUGGAGGUAGGAACCAACCCCCAGUGGUUCAGCAAAUACCUGUUGUUGAAGAAGUUGCACCUGAGCCAGUCACCAUGGCUGGAGUUCAAGCCAUGAUUCAGGCUAUGCUAGCUGAACAAAGGGAAGAAAUGAGACGGAUGCUCCACGAAAAUAGGGACGAACCUACCAUACAUGUUGAACCGACGGAGCCAGUUCCCGAGCCAUCUGAGGAAGGGAACUAUAGCCGCCAAGUGAGUCAAGUAGGGACUCAAGGUGAGCAAAAGGAUGGCCCAGAAGGGAGAAACAACAAGGAUGGGCGGAUGUACAAAAAUUUCUUGGGUGCGAAACCACCAAGUCUCUCAGGAAGCCCAAAGCCUGUUGAGAUUAUGGACUGGAUCUCCGAGAUGGAGAUGGUGUUUGAGAGCUGCGACUGCAGCGAGAAGCAGAAGACUGUCUUCGCUGUGAGACAAUUGAAAACUGGAGUCUUGAGCUGGUGGAAGCUAUUGGCAGAUACAAUGCCACGGGGAGAAGCUCUGAAAAUGUCAUGGGAUGAGUUCUUGGAACAACUGAAGGCGCAGUACUGUUCAGAGAUAGACCUGAUUGAUCUGAACAAUGAGUUCCAAAAUUUGAAGAAGGGGAGAAUGAGCAUCGAUGACUAUGCUGCUGCAUUUACGGAAAAGAUGAAGUUGUUUCCAUACCUAGUGCCAACCGAACUUUCCAAAAUUGAGAAAUUCGCAAACGGACUGCCGGCUGACUUUGGCCCAACAGUCAAGAUGGCAACCACUCUGAAAUCAGCUGUUCGAGCAGCUAAGAACGUGGAGACCCAACAAAAGGAAAGAGGUCUGGAGAGGGCUGAGGUUGGUGAGAAACGGAAGUUCAAUGGAUCCUCGAAGUCCAACAAGAAGAGUAGAUUCUCGAAGUCUGGUUCGAGGGGAGGAGGAUCAGAAGCGAAGUGGUGUGACAAGUGCAAGAAGAAGCACUCUGGGAAGUGUGACGGAGGGGUCACUUGUUACAAGUGCGGAAAGCCUGGGCACUACGCCAAUGAAUGCACCCUCAACCAGAAAGCCUGUUAUGGGUGCAAUGAAGAAGGGCACAUUUUGAAGGACUGCCCGAAGAAGAAGGAGACAGGAAGACCCAACAUACCACCGAAGCCGAAGGCGAGAGCCUUCCAGAUGACGCUCGAGGCUGCAAAGGAGGCAGCAGACGUCGCUUCAGGUACCUUUCUUGUAAAUGGUUUGCCUGCAAAUAUACUAUUUGAUUCCGGAGCCAACUACUCCUUUGUGUCGCAUAAAUUUGGUGGGAAAUUAGCAUUGCCUGUAGAAAAACUAGAUAAUGCCCUGAUUGUAGAAGUUGCCAGUGGCAAAUUCGUACCUGUUAGUAAUCGUAUUAGGAACAUCGUCAUUGACCUAAACGGAAACGAAUUCCACGAAGAGCUAUUACCCAUAGAGUUAAACGGUUUCGACAUCGUUUUGGGUAUGGAUUGGCUUAGCGCCAACGAUGCUGAGAUUCAAUGCCGAAAGAAGAUAGUAAAGGUAAACCCACCCGGAAAAGAAUCAUUUAUGGUGUAUGGGGACAAACGCAGAGUGAAUUCUGGAAUCAUCUCCCUGAUGAAAGCCAGGAAAUGUUUGUCCAAAGGAUGUGCAUCAUACUUGGCAUUCGUAAUCGAUGCCAAGAAGGAGAAGAAAGAGGUGCAGAAUAUACCGGUUGUGUGUGAUUAUCCGGAAGUCUUUCCCGAAGAUCUUCCCGGAUUACCACCUGAUAGGCAAGUGGAGUUUCGUAUAGACUUGUUACCAGGAACAACACCGAUAGCAAAGGCACCUUACCGAUUAGCACCGACGGAGAUGAAGGAGCUCAUGACGCAACUUCAGGAGCUGUUGGACAACGGUUUUAUUCGACCUAGUUCAUCACCCUGGGGAGCUCCGGUGUUAUUCGUGAAGAAGAAGGACGGAAGUAUGAGAAUGUGUAUAGACUACCGAGAGCUGAAUAAGGCAACGGUGAAGAACAAGUAUCCAUUGCCGAGGAUUGAUGACCUAUUCGAUCAGCUGCAAGGUUCGAGCUACUUCUCAAAGAUCGAUCUUAGGUCAGGAUAUCAUCAGCUAAAGGUGAGAAAGCAGGAUAUUGAGAAGACUGCAUUCAGAACGAGAUAUGGACACUACGAGUUCUUGGUUAUGUCAUUCGGGCUAACCAAUGCUCCCGCAGCAUUCAUGGAUUUGAUGAAUAGGGUUUGUAAACCAUUCCUCGAUAAAUCCGUGAUAGUGUUCAUCGACGACAUUCUCAUCUACUCGAAAAGCCAAGAGGAGCAUGGCAAGCAUCUACGGGAAGUAUUAGAAGUGUUGAAGAAGGAGAAGCUUUUUGCAAAGUUCUCCAAAUGCGACUUUUGGAUACGGGAAGUCCAAUUCUUGGGUCAUGUUGUUAACCAGGAGGGAAUAAUGGUUGACCCCGCAAAGAUCGAGGCUGUAAUGAAGUGGGAACGUCCAAAGAGUCCCACGGAGAUUCGAAGCUUUCUAGGAUUAGCCGGAUAUUAUCGACGAUUUAUCCAAGGCUUUUCUUCGAUAGCUGCUCCAUUAACAGCUUUGACUCAUAAAGGAGCUACGUAUACGUGGAGUGAGAAACACGAUGAGGCAUUCGAGAAGCUAAAGAAGAAGUUAUGUGAAGCACCGAUACUUUCUCUACCCGAUGGAGUCGAAGAUUUCGCGGUUUAUAGUGACGCUUCUGGAGUCGGGUUGGGUUGUGUUCUGACCCAAAGAGAAAAGGUGAUAGCAUACGCAUCUCGACAAUUGAAAGAGCACGAAAAGAACUACCCCACUCAUGAUCUGGAGUUGGCAGCGGUAGUUUUUGCCUUAAAGAUAUGGAGGCAUUACCUCUACGGCACGAAGUGCAAGCUCUUCACUGAUCAUAAGAGUCUCCAGUAUCUCUUUAAUCAGAAGGAGUUGAACAUGAGGCAACGACGCUGGCUAGAACUUCUCAAGGACUACGACUGUGAGAUACUUUACCACCCAGGUAAAGCAAAUAUUGUUGCUGAUGCUCUCAGUCGGAAAGUCAAUCUGGAAAGGAAAAGGCCAAGAGCGUUAAGAAUUGAAGUCGUCUCGACGAUUGUGGAAAGUAUCAGGAAAGCUCAAGAAGAAGCUUUAGAGAAAAAUGACCGAAAGGAAGAACGUUUGGGAAGAACGUUAGUGUUUGGUACAAACAGUCGAGGACUGAAGGUAUUCCAAGAUCGAAUUUGGGUACCUAAGACGGGAGGAAUAAGAGAUCUUCUGAUGGAAGAAGCACACAAGACCAUGUACUCGAUUCAUCCCGGUAGCACUAAAAUGUAUAGGGACCUAAAACCCUACUACUGGUGGCCGACGAUGAAGCUCGAUGUUGCGAAGUAUGUGGCCGAGUGCGUAACAUGUGCGAGGGUUAAGGCACAACAUCAGAAACCGUAUGGGAGUUUAGAACCUUUACCUGUACCCAUGGGUAAAUGGGAAGACAUCACCAUGGAUUUUGUGACUAAACUGCCCAGGACGAAGAACGGUCACGACAUGAUUUGGGUAGUCGUGGAUCGUUUCACCAAGAGUGCACACUUCAUAGCAGCCAACGAGAAGUGGUCUAUGGAUAAGCUCGCAAAUGCUUACGUGAAGGAAAUUGUAAGACUUCACGGUGUCCCUCUUACGAUUGUAUCAGAUCGUGAUAGUCGUUUCACGUCAAGGUUUUGGAGGAGUCUACAAGAGGAGUUAGGUACAAAGUUGUGUUUGAGUACUGCUUAUCAUCCGCAAACUGAUGGUCAGAGCGAAAGAACGAUUCAGACGCUGGAAGAUAUGCUGAGAGCAUGUACCCUCGAAUUCCAAGGGAAUUGGGACGAGCACUUACCUCUGGUAGAAUUUUCCUACAACAAUAGUUUUCACUCGAGCAUCAAGAUGGCUCCUUAUCAAGCCUUGUAUGGGCAGAAGUGUCGUACGCCGUCUUGUUGGCUUGAAGCCGGAGAGAAGCAGUUUAUGGGCCCCGAGAUAGUCCAUGAGACUGCUGAGAAGUUGAAGGUGAUUAGGGAAAGGAUGUUAGCAGCCCAGGAUCGUCAGAAGAGCUAUGCUGACAAGAAAAGACGACCGAUAACUUUCGAAGUUGGGGAUUCCGUUUUGCUUAAAGUCUCACCGUGGAAGGGACUUAUACGAUUUGGGAAACGAGGAAAGUUGAGUCCAAGGUUUAUUGGACCGUUCAAAGUUCUUCAGAAGAUAGGGAACCAAGCUUACAAGCUGGAAUUGCCCGAAGAACUCAAUGGUAUUCAUAACACCUUCCAUGUGUGUUAUUUGAGGAAAUUCACGGGAGAUGUUCCCGACAUAAUUCCAAUCUCAGAGUUAAGGAUGGAUGAAAAUAAAAGGUUGAUCGAAGAGCCUGAGGCAAUUGUUGACCGUAAGACUAAGAAGUUACGACGCAAGAUGGUCGACUUGGUGCUAGUCCGAUGGAAACAUUCGAAUGGGCCGAAUCUCACUUGGGAAACAGAGGAUGACAUGAUGAGUCGCUAUCCACAUCUGUUUGCUGAUGCAUGAUUCCGGGACGGAAUCAUCCUAAGGGGGAGAGAAUUGUAACGCCCGGGUUUCAGGGCUAAGCAUUUUUGUCAAUGUAAUAGUCUAGGUCAACUCUUGUAACUCUUUUUGAAGUAAUAAAGAUGAAAUAUUUGAGUAUUAUGUGAAUUAUAUGUGUUUAUUAUUUAAUUAUAAAUGUAUAAUUAAUAAAGAAUAAAAAUGAGCGUCAAAAUUAAAGUGUGAGAUAAUCCCGAUAUCUCUACAUAAAGUUGUAGAAUAUGUCUCAAGGUUUCCGUGCAUAUAAGGAACGCCGAAAUCCGAGUUAUAACGAAGAAGUUAUGACCCGUCGAAGUUUCACGACAGAACCGGCACGAUACCGGGAAGCGUGAAUAGUGAAUUUACGAUAGAGCGAGAUUUAGCCUUAGUGAUCUAAACGAAAGUCGUAGAAUAUGUUAAACUAAGAACAUCGAUAAAAAGAACGCCCAAAUCUGACUUCGUAUGAAGAAGUUAUGAGAUUUUAAACAGACCAAUCCUGUCCCGGCUUGUUAAAAAUAUAACUUUAAAAAUAAAGUCAAAAUUAGCCGACGGAGUCUAAACGAAAGUUGUAGAGUACGUCUUCACCUACGCGUGGAUAUAAAGAACGUCAAAAACGGAGUUCGUAUGAACGAGUUACAAAUUAUAAUAGCAUAUUUACGUAUUAAAAUAAAGUAUAAAUCAUGUAUACGUACACAUAUAUAUACAUAUGUAUAUAUCAUUAGAAAGGUAUCGACGAUGCGGUCAUUAUAAGACUAAUGUUGAGUUCUUUCGACAUUAGUUUAGUACAAAUAUCAUUAAAUCCAUUUAUAAUAGUAUUAUAGAGGGGUGUUUAGUUGUUUAUAUAACUAAAAGGUCAUUAAGUAAUUAUGGAGGGUAGUUUUUGAAAAUUCAAUUAGUAUAAAUAAGAGCCUUGGGCUCUCAUAUUUCUUGCACCAUUCUCUUGAUUCAAGAGUCUUUCUCUCCUUAUCCCCCGAGCAUUUCGGUCCCUCGUGAUUCGACUUCUCUUUCUGUAGCUUAGUAUAGUAAGGUGAGCGCUGAAGCGCUGCACGAAUCUUUCUUAGAAAGAUUCAGCGACGAAGUUCUGCCCCUGCAGAGCCCGACUCCUAGCUAAAACCCCCUUGUAAGUAAGUUAUGCUUACCUUAUUUUAAUAUAGCUUAUAUUUAAAAUUAGUAUUGUUAUUAUGAACUUAUAAUAAAUAUUUGAGCUAUUAUUAUAACUUAUAUAAGUGUCGUUAUAAUAUUUUUUUUAACUACUCGCGGUACGGGGAAUCUGGUUUAAAGGGCCGCAUAGGGUUGUUGGAUUUCAGAAGUGCUAUAUGCCAAAAUGGUCCUGCCCUCCGGUGUUUUAUGUCUGGCCCCUGUCUGUACAUAGUGGUUGGAAAAUAUUGUUUAACGCUUAUAUAAUAAUAAUAAUACUAAGACUAAUAGUUGGUCACGGUAAAUAUUAGACUAAAAUUUAGCGAUAAUAAUGCUAGGUUUCGUCGAAGGAAAAUAGAAUCGUUAGAAGCAAGCGCUGCCCGAUUUUGGAAUCAUCACCUUAACAAGUGAGUGCAUAGUUACUUUCAACUUACACAUAGAUAUGAAGUAUUUUAUAUAAAUUACGUGCUAUGUGUGCAUAUUAUCUGAAUACUUGCUAUCUAUGCUAGAUGAACGUUGUUAUACAUGUUUUCAAUGAUUUAAACUGUAUAUGUAUUUUAUAUCUACGAAAAUGUUGGGGUAAAACAUGGGUAGAUGCAAUAGGUGAUGUGUGAUAAAAUGAUGAGAGGCCUCGAUGUUGAUGUUGUUGAUUCUGUCAUCUAGCGGAGUAUGGAUGACGACCACAGACUCUUCUAGACAGUCCAGUGGAACACUAGCAGGCUCGCAACCUGUAGGUGUUUGUGAACGAUAUGUUCACCGGUGUACUCCAUCCCCCACAUGGUUGCCUUUAGGACAUUUAUUGCUGAGGAAUCCCCUUAGCAGUAGUGUCCGUCCCGAUGAUGAUCCUUAGGCUAGGUCCCUUAUGAUAGGUGUUUAGGGACGUAAAGUGAGGAUAACGGGAACGGGUAAUCGGGUUAUUGUUGAUCGAUGAAAUUAAUAAACUUAUUUAUUGUGGGUUGAAAACCCUAUGUGCUCACCAGGCUCCCAAGCCUGACCCACUCAGUUUUAUGUAUUACAGGUAGUGGCGCAUGAGCAUAGGUGUGAUGUUUUGGACG
rnacentral:lncRNA from 1 species